UACGGAGGGGGCCAGCGUUGUUCGGAAUCAUUGGGCGUAAAGGGCGCGUAGGCGGCUUGGUAAGUCCGUUGUGAAAUCCCUCGGCUCAACCGAGGAACUGCGACGGAUACUGCUUGGCUUGAGUCCCGGAGAGGGUAGCGGAAUUCCCAGUGUAGCGGUGAAAUGCGCAGAUAUCGGGAAGAACACCUAUGGCGAAGGCAGCUCUCUGGGACGGUACUGACGCUGAGACGCGAAAGCGUGGGGAGCGAACAGG
rnacentral:rRNA from 1 species